rnacentral:sRNA from 1 species
UAAUACAAAAUAAUAGAAGCUAUGAAAACUUUCUGAGAACAGUAGGCAGUGGGACAAAUGUAAAAUUAAAAGUACUACAAUUCUUCAGUACUCAAACAUAGACACUACACAAUACACACAAAAUAAUAUUAUUCCCAAGAAAUACAUUCCCUAAAACAAAACAGUCGGAUGGAACUUGCAUCCAUAAGGAAUGCACGGAUCAUUUGUGGCAUCGAAUUAUGCGGAUGGCACUGGAACACAAAUAGUAAUAAUAUAUAGAAGAACAAUCUAGAGGAAUACUCUGGUGAUGUGUGGCAUCAAAACAUGUUGAGCUUCCAUUUUCUCGUGCAGCAGACCCUCGCUCCUCAAGAUCAUCUCGUUAUAAAUAGGGCCAGUGUUGGCAUCGUCUUUGGUGAGGUUGUCCAUCACAUGUAGCGAGAUCCAUCAUCAUGACGCAUCUGGAUAAAUCGUCGAGAUAUUCUUUCUUUAUUGAGGAAUAAAUAUUAUAUCGAAUAUAUAGAAAUACCA